UACGUAGGGUGCAAGCGUUUGUCCGGAAUUAUUGGGCGUAAAGAGCUCGUAGGCGGUUGUCGCGUCUUGCUGUGAAAACUCGGGGCUUAACCCCGGGCCUGCAGUGGGUACGGGCAGACUAGAGUGCGGUAGGGGAGACUGGAAUUCCUGGUGUAGCGGUGAAAAUGCGCAGAUAUCAGGAGGAACACCGGUGGCGAAGGCGGGUCUCUGGGCCGAUACUGACGCUGAGGAGCGAAAGCGUGGGGAGCGAACAGG
rnacentral:rRNA from 1 species